rnacentral:rRNA from 1 species
UUCGACACACUAUCAUUAACUGAAUCCAUAGGUUAAUGAGGCGAACCGGGGGAACUGAAACAUCUAAGUACCCCGAGGAAAAGAAAUCAACCGAGAUUCCCCCAGUAGCGGCGAGCGAACGGGGAGGAGCCCAGAGCCUGAAUCAGUGUGUGUGUUAGUGGAAGCGUCUGGAAAGGCGCGCGAUACAGGGUGACAGCCCCGUACACAAAAAUGCACAUAUUGUGAGCUCGAUGAGUAGGGCGGGACACGUGGUAUCCUGUCUGAAUAUGGGGGGACCAUCCUCCAAGGCUAAAUACUCCUGACUGACCGAUAGUGAACCAGUACCGUGAGG